rnacentral:rRNA from 1 species
GACGAACGCUGGCGGUGUGCUUAACACAUGCAAGUCGAACGGUAAGGCCCUUUCGGGGGUCCACGAGUGGCGAACGGGUGAGUAACACGUGAGUAACCUGCCCUCAUCUCUGGGAUAACAGUCGGAAACGGUUGCUAAUACUGGAUAUGAGCUUGCAAGGCAUCUUGUGGGUUGGAAAGAUUUUUUUGGUUGGGGACGGACUCGCGGCCUAUCAGCUUGUUGGUGAGGUAGUGGCUCACCAAGGCUUCGACGGGUAGCCGGCCUGAGAGGGCGACCGGCCACAUUGGGACUGAGAUACGGCCCAAACUCCUACGGGAGGCAGCAGUGGGGAAUAUUGCACAAUGGACGGAAGUCUGAUGCAGCAACGCCGCGUGCGGGAUGACGGCCUUCGGGUUGUAAACCGCUUUCAAUUGUGACGAAGCUUUUUGUGACGGUAGCAGUAGAAGAAGCACCGGCUAACUACGUG